rnacentral:rRNA from 1 species
UACGAAGGGUGCAAGCGUUACUCGGAAUUACUGGGCGUAAAGCGUGCGCAGGCGGUUGGUUAAGUCUGAUGUGAAAGCCCCGGGCUCAACCUGGGAAUGGCAUUGGAAACUGGCUGGCUAGAGUGUGGCAGAGGGGGGUGGAAUUCCGCGUGUAGCAGUGAAAUGCGUAGAGAUGCGGAGGAACACCGAUGGCGAAGGCAGCCCCCUGGGCUGCACUGACGCUCAGGCACGAAAGCGUGGGGAGCAAACAGG